rnacentral:tRNA from 1 species
GGGCCCAUAGCUCAAUCGGUUAGAGCAGCAAGCUCAUAACUUGUCGGUUCCAGGUUCAAGUCCCGGUGGGCCCA